UACGAAGGGUGCAAACGUUGCUCGGAAUUAUUGGGCGUAAAGCGCACGUAGGCGGCUUGGCAAGUCGGAUGUGAAAUCCCUCGGCUCAACCAAGGAAGUGCAUCCGAAACUGCUGAGCUUGAGUACUUAAGAGGAUCGCGGAAUUCCCGGUGUAGAGGUGAAAUUCGUAGAUAUCAGGAGGAACACCAGUGGCGAAGGCGGCUCUCUGGGCAGAUACUGACGCUGAGACGCGAAAGCGUGGGUAGCAAACAGG
rnacentral:rRNA from 1 species